CUGAUAUUUCUGGUAUUUCUCUGUCUGUUGGCAAAAAAACCAAUACAAACUGCUUCACCCCUGUAGUGUCUCCAUCCACUGUCUCUCCUACAGAUACAAAGACAAAGUCCACCACCCCUGUAGAGUCUUCAUC